UAAAACUAUUUUCAGGGAUUAAAAGCAAAAAUCUACUAUAUUUGUGAGGAUGAAAAAUGCAUUUAAAUUUUUAUUUAUUUUACUUUAAACACCUAAAUUCAACGUUUAUUAGAUUAAAAGAUUAAAUGCCAUCAAAUCGAUAUGUAGCUAACGAGUAUGCUUAAUUGUGCUAAAAUUUCCUUCCUUUUGAAUUAUCUUUCAUGAAAAUUGUAGAAGAAUGGAAUUAAAUCAUUAUUCAGUGCAGGUAAUACUAAAUGUCUGUUUUGUCUGAUCAAUAACCUCCAGGUACCGCCUCACAUUGUAGCUGGUGAGGCCAUAGUUGUUAACACGGAGGAUGACUCCUACAUAGAAAGGGCCAAAUCAUAGUGUGACUUCAGCCAGGAUUUGAAUAGAUAUCCAAGACUUCUGAAGCAGAAUGGCCCUUUUAUUCAGCCUCCUAGCCCUACCCUCCUCUCUUUCACUUCAUAAUAGCAUUUUUUUUGUUUUCUUUAUCUCCCAGCAAAUGAAUUUGGAUGUUUGUGUUUGCAGGACUGUUGCUUUAGUUUGUGCAUAACGAAAGCAAGGCAACAUAAUCUUGAUUGUUGAAAGUUUAGAUGAUAAAAACUCA